GAUGAACGCUGGCGGCGUGCUUAACACAUGCAAGUCGAACGAAGCCUUUAGAACAGCUUACUUCGGUUUGAAGCUCUUUAUGACUGAGUGGCGGACGGGUGAGUAACUCGUUGGUAACCUGCCUUGUCCUGGGGGAUAUCAGCUGGAAACGGCUGGUAAUACCGCAUAAGCGCACAAUGUUCUUUGACAUUGUGUGAAAAACUCCGGCGGUAUAGGAUUGACCCGCGUCUGGUUAGAUAGUUGGGGAGAGAACAGCCCACCAAGGCGACGAUCAGUAGCCGAGAUGUGAGAGAGGGUCGACACAUUGGCACUGGGACACAGUCGAGACUCCUACGCGAGGCAGGAGUGGGGAAUAUUGCACAAUCGAGGAAGCUAUGAAGCAGCGACGCCGGGAGAGUGAAGAAGUAAUGCGUUAAGUGAAGCACUAUCAGCAGGGAAGGUAGUGAUGGUACCUGACUAAGAAGCACCGGCUAAAUACGUG
rnacentral:rRNA from 1 species